CGGCUUGAGAAUGGCGUUUACCAGGCCAAAUAUCAGCGCGACGAUGAUCAGCGUGAGCGCCUUCCGGCCGGACGAGCUGCCGGUUACGUCGAUGCCGGGGACCACCAGCGUAGUGAUCCACAACGCCACCGCGUUGAUCGCCCAUCGGACCAGAAAGCCCACCGUUCCAUCCUGGCACG
rnacentral:misc_RNA from 1 species